GUUGCAUUAUCAGACUGCUGACAUGACCUCUUUUACCUGUUCCCUCUGAUUUAAUGUCAUCAGACACAAGGUGAUUUAGAACAUUCCUGGUAAUAAUGGAGAGGCUGACAGCAGAUGUGUAGAUAUUUCUAAUGCCUUUUUCCUCCCCUAAGGUUUGUUCUUUAGCUAAGGCUGUACUGUGGAGACAAUCAGUGUAUUGCAGAAUGUAAUGACAAUGAGUAGAGAGAGCAGAUUUCAUGGACAGGGGGAAAGCCUUUUUAUUCUUCCAAAAACGGAUUGCUGCCCAGUAAACAUAAAAAAAGGUAGAGCUGUAGUCAUAAGAAACACGGCUGUAGGAGAAGAGCUUCCUCACAGAGUUGGCCUCCACAAGAUAAAGAAAGUCAAUGAUGCACAUCUUACUCCUAGAGAGAGAGACCACCAAGACUGGAAAGAUACUGUGAAGGAUACUGCAAGAGAAUACUUCCCAGAACAAAGGGAAAGGAUACAGAUAAGGAGGCUAAAGCCCAGAGAAGAUAAGUGGCUGGCACAACAUCACACGGCUGGUCAUUGGAGAACAAAUAAGAGAGUCCCAGGUACCAUGGCUCCAGAAGUUGUGCUCUAA
rnacentral:lncRNA from 1 species